GACGAACGCUGGCGGCGUGCCUAAUACAUGCAAGUCGAGCGAAGUUUUUCUGGUGCUUGCACUAGAAAAACUUAGCGGCGAACGGGUGAGUAACACGUAAAGAACCUGCCUCAUAGACUGGGACAACUAUUGGAAACGAUAGCUAAUACCGGAUAACAGUAUUUCUCGCAUGAGAGAUAUUUAAAAGUUGGUUAUGCUAACACUAUGAGAUGGCUUUGCGGUGCAUUAGCUAGUUGGUGGGGUAAAGGCCCACCAAGGCGACGAUGCAUAGCCGACCUGAGAGGGUGAUCGGCCACACUGGGACUGAGACACGGCCCAGACUCCUACGGGAGGCAGCAGUAGGGAAUCUUCCGCAAUGGGCGAAAGCCUGACGGAGCAACGCCGCGUGAGUGAAGAAGGAUUUCGGUUCGUAAAGCUCUGUUGUUAGGGAAGAAUGGAUACGUAGUAACUAUACAUGUAAGAGACGGUACCUAACCAGAAAGCCACGGCUAACUACGUG
rnacentral:rRNA from 1 species